UACGAAGGGGGCUAGCGUUGCUCGGAAUUACUGGGCGUAAAGCGCACGUAGGCGGCUUUCUAAGUCGGGGGUGAAAUCCUGGAGCUCAACUCCAGAACUGCCUUCGAUACUGGAAAGCUCGAGUCCGGGAGAGGUGAGUGGAACUGCGAGUGUAGAGGUGAAAUUCGUAUAUAUUCGCAAGAACACCAGUGGCGAAGGCGGCUCACUGGCCCGGUACUGACGCUGAGGUGCGAAAGCGUGGGGAGCAAACAGG
rnacentral:rRNA from 1 species